UUUCACCUAAAAACAAGUGAAACUCCAGUUGUUGCAUCUAUAUUAUCAUGUUGUUUGUCUAUUCAGAGUAACGUUGAAUUAAAAUGGGAAACGACUCGUCCUGCUCACCUGCACAGACGACUACAGGGAGACCUUAAAAGUGGAGCUCAAACUGAAACGGUGAAGUGGAAGAACAGAGUGACGGUGUGAAGAGGCUACUGUUGCUGCUCUGCUGCUACUCUAGCACAACACCACUUCAGGGCUUCCUGUCGUACUGUGACAGCAAAAACUGCACCCUGUCAACAACUUCUCCUUUUUUCCCCCAACUUCCAAAUGGACGUAAAGGCAUGUAAACUUCAUUCAGCCGGAAACUUUGAGGGCAAGAAAAGUUGCACAAAGAAAAGCAGCGUGCAAAAGUUUGGGUUUUACUUGCGGCCAACACAUUAAAAAUUGCUAAAUGUCAGUUUUUUAAUUCUGAAUGUACUUUGAAUAACUAGAUGGAUCACUGCAUCGUUAAAUGUUUGUGUAGUCGUACUACUUCAGCUUUUUCACAUUGUCGUAUUAAACUUUAAAUAUAUUUUUUAUUAAAACAUG